GUGGGGAAUAUUGGACAAUGGGCGCAAGCCUGAUCCAGCCAUGCCGCGUGAGUGAUGAAGGCCUUAGGGUUGUAAAGCUCUUUCAGUGGGGACGAUAAUGACGGUACCCACAGAAGAAGCCCCGGCUAACUCCGUGCCAGCAGCCGCGGUAAUACGAAGGGGGCUAGCGUUGUUCGGAUUUACUGGGCGUAAAGCGCACGUAGGCGGAUCGUUAAGUCGGGGGUGAAAUCCUGGAGCUCAACUCCAGAACUGCCUUCGAUACUGGCGAUCUUGAGUCCGGAAGAGGUGAUUGGAACUCCUAGUGUAGAGGUGGAAUUCGUAGAUAUUAGGAAGAACACCAGUGGCGAAGGCGGCUCACUGGUCCGGUACUGACGCUGAGGUGCGAAAGCGUGGGGAGCAAACAGGAUUAGAAACCCCAGUAGUCC
rnacentral:rRNA from 1 species